rnacentral:misc_RNA from 1 species
GAUGAAGAACGUAGCGAAAUGCGAAAAGUAAUGUGAAUUGCAGAAUUCAGUGAACCAUCGAAUCUUUGAACGCACAUUGCGCCCGCUGGAACUCCGGCGGGCACGCCUGUCCGAGCGUCAUUUCAACCCUCAGGCCCCCCUUCGCGGGCGGGCCUGGUGUUGGGGCCCGGCCGCUACCCUGCGGCCGUCCCCUAAAUUCAGUGGCGGCCUCGCCGUGAUCCCUUGCGUAGUAAUGCACCUCGCACCGGAGAGCGCCGUGGCCACGCCGUAAAACCCCCAAUUUUCCAUGGUUGACCUCGGAUCAGGUGGGAAUACCCGCUGAACUUAAGCAUAUCAAUAAGCGGAGGA